AACGAACGCUGGCGGCAGGCCUAACACAUGCAAGUCGAGCGAGAUCUUCGGGUCUAGCGGCGGACGGGUGAGUAACGCGUGGGAAUAUGCCUCUUGGUACGGAAUAGCCUCGGGAAACUGGGAGUAAUACCGUAUGUGCCCUUUGGGGGAAAGAUUUAUCGCCAAGAGAUUAGCCCGCGUUGGAUUAGGUAGUUGGUGGGGUAAUGGCCUACCAAGCCGACGAUCCAUAGCUGGUUUGAGAGGAUGAUCAGCCACACUGGGACUGAGACACGGCCCAGACUCCUACGGGAGGCAGCAGUGGGGAAUCUUAGACAAUGGGGGCAACCCUGAUCUAGCCAUGCCGCGUGAGUGAUGAAGGCCUUAGGGUUGUAAAGCUCUUUCAGCUGGGGAGAUAAUGACGGUACCAGCAGAAGAAGCCCCGGCUAACUCCGUG
rnacentral:rRNA from 1 species